UUUUUGUAGGUUGAAUCCUGUUGCUGGUUCCAGUGCCCUGUGAGCUGCUCCCUGUCCGUGGGAUCUAUUGCGAUUGGAUUUCGAAAACUUGAAUUCGCGUAACACUGGUCAACAGUCGAUCUCGGAUUGUUAUUAUUGUUCCUCUAACACUUUCACUGUUUCUUCUUCUAAUCCUUUUUAUUUGUUCUUUUAGGUUUCGACCAUCUUCGAGGAGGAGCCCUUAGAAAUAUUGGACUUGCACGUUUCGUGGCAUUCACUUUCGUUGAUUUGGGUCUGUUUUUCCGAUACGUCAAAGUCACUUAAGCACGUUGAAUCCUGUUGCUGGUUCCAGUGCCCUGUGAGCUGCUCCCUGUCCGUGGGAUCUAUUGCGAUUGGAUUUCGAAAACUUGAAUUCGCGUAACACUGGUCAACAGUCGAUCUCGGAUUGUUAUUAUUGUUCCUCUAACACUUUCACUGUUUCUUCUUCUAAUCCUUUUUAUUUGUUCUUUUAGGUUUCGACCAUCUUCGAGGAGGAGCCCUUAGAAAUAUUGGACUUGCACGUUUCGUGGCAUUCACUUUCGUUGAUUUGGGUCUGUUUUUCCGAUACGUCAAAGUCACUUAAGCACGCUCUUUUGCGCUGUCACCAAUGAAGCGAAAUACGUACCGAGUGGUUAGACACUAUUACUGCUGAAUGUGAUAUGUCCUUUGAUUAACUGCACUACAUCUGCUCGAUUUUAAUUACUUUUAAUCUAUCAGUUAAGUUGAAAAAUAUUAAAUCACUUAAACACUAAACCGAAACUUAAACAACGGGCAUCACUUCUGCCUCGCGGAAUAAUACUUAAGAGUUAACACCUAAACGAACCGCGGACUAUCUAUAACGACGUAGGCACCUGCCUCACGAGGGGUAUCACUAUCACGACGUCGGACUUCCUUGAAGUCCCAGCUUAAGUCUUCGCCGCUACUCCGGUCACUCCGAAUUUUCCCGCGGCGUCGUCUUCUCACGAGAGCGGGCCGCUCUUCCGUCUCUUUCCUCGCGAACGUGCCCGUGCACGGCUGAUGCAAUCGUUGUUGACUUUUUCGUAAAUCCGCUCGGUUGCAUGUUUUGAUUAAACAUCCGCGAAUUGGAGUUUUUUGCUGUAAAUAUAAACUUAAAACAUUCGAACUUGCGUUCGAUUUAAUAACUGAGGUAUUGUUUUUGCCUCCAUAAUCAAAACAAUACCUUCUUUGAUUAUGAUCCACUUUUCAUAUUUUCAUAACAUGAGUGGUGGAUGGAAUUUCAAGUUUCAACACUUGCGAUGUUGAAACAAAUUGACAAGAGAAAUGAUUUCAUCAUCUUGUCCAUGCAUAUUAAUGACAAGUUUUUCCAAAGAUGUUUUUUCCAUUUAGGAUUUUUCUUAAUCCUUCUUUGGAAGAGAAUGGAAAUUAAUUGUAACCGCCUAA